GUUGUAAUCGGACGGGAAUGACGCCAGCGAUUGCAAUACAAGCGGACUGGGGGAAAGUAGAUGUAAUACCGCACAUAUCGGUGGCGAAGCUAGUGCCGAUUCUACGAACGACUGGCGGGU
rnacentral:sRNA from 12 species